rnacentral:rRNA from 2 species
GACGAACCGUGCGAACGUUAUUCGGAAUCACUGGGCUUAAAGCGCGUGUAGGCGGAUCGGAACGUCGGCGCCUGAAAUCCCCCGGCUCAACCGGGGAACGUGGCCCGAAACGACCGAUCUCGAGGGGUGUAGGGGGGACUGGAACUUCCGGUGGAGCGGUGAAAUGCGUUGAGAUCGGAAGGAACGCCCGUGGCGAAAGCGAGUCCCUGGACGCCUGCUGACGCUGAGACGCGAAAGCUAGGGGAGCGAACGGG